rnacentral:rRNA from 1 species
CCUACGGGUGGCUGCAGUGGGGAAUCUUGGACAAUGGGCGCAAGCCUGAACCAGCGACGCCGCGUGAGUGAAGAAGGCCUUCGGAGUGUUAAACUCUGUUGUUAGAGAAAAAAGUGCAGGCGAGUAACUGUUUAUGUAUCGACGGUAUCUAAACAGAAAGCCACGCCUAACUACGUGCCAGCAGGUGAGGUAGUGGGGAGGGGGCAAGUGUUAUUUGGAUUUAUUGGGUGUAAAGGGAACGUAGGCGGGUUUUUAAGUCUGACGUGAAAGGGUGCGGCUCAACCGUAGAAGUGCAUUUGAUACUGGCAGGCUUGAGUGCAGGUGAGGUAAGCGGAAUUCCUGGUGUAGCGGUGAAAUGCGUAGAUAUCAGGAAGAACACCAGUGGCGAAGGCGGCUUACUAAACUGUAACUGACAUUGAGGCUCGAAAGCGUGGGUAUCAAACAGGAUUAGAUACCCUAGUAGUC